rfam:Dipodomys ordii contig_4306, whole genome shotgun sequence.
GGGAAAGUGGCUCAGUGGUACAGCUCUUGCCUUGCAUGCAUGAGGCCCUGGGUUCGAUUCCUCAGCACCA